ACACAGGUACCUGCCUGUAAGACUGGGUAACUCCGGAAACCGGGGCUAAUACCGGAUGCUUGUUUGAACCGCAUGGUUCAAACAUAAAAGGUGGCUUCGGCUACCACUUACAGAUGGACCCGCGGCGCAUUAGCUAGUUGGUGAGGUAAUGGCUCACCAAGGCAACGAUGCGUAGCCGACCUGAGAGGGUGAUCGGCCACACUGGGACUGAGACACGGCCCAGACUCCUACGGGAGGCAGCAGUAGGGAAUCUUCCGCAAUGGACGAAAGUCUGACGGAGCAACGCCGCGUGAGUGAUGAAGGUUUUCGGAUCGUAAAGCUCUGUUGUUAGGGAAGAACAAGUACCGUUCGAAUAGGGCGGUACCUUGACGGUACCUAACCAGAAAGCCACGGCUAACUACGUGCCAGCAGCCGCGGUAAUACGUAGGUGGCAAGCGUUGUCCGGAAUUAUUGGGCGUAAAGGGCUCGCAGGCGGUUCCUUUAAGUCUGAUGUGAAAGCCCCCGGCUCAACCGGGGAGGGUCAUUGGAAACUGGGGAACUUGAGUGCAGAAGAGGAGAGUGGAAUUCCACGUGUAGCGGUGAAAUGCGUAGAGAUGUGGAGGAACACCAGUGGCGAAGGCGACUCUCUGGUCUGUAACUGACGCUGAGGAGCGAAAGCGUGGGGAGCGAACAGGAUUAGAUACCCUGGUAGUCCACGCCGUAAACGAUGAGUGCUAAGUGUUAGGGGGUUUCCGCCCCUUAGUGCUGCAGCUAACGCAUUAAGCACUCCGCCUGGGGAGUACGGUCGCAAGACUGAAACUCAAAGGAAUUGACGGGGGCCCGCACAAGCGGUGGAGCUGUGGUUUAAUUCGAAGCAACGCGAAGAACCUUACCAGGUCUUGACAUCCUCUGACAAUCCUAGAGAUAGGACGUCCCCUUCGGGGGCAGAGUGACAGGUGGUGCAUGGUUGUCGUCAGCUCGUGUCGUGAGAUGUUGGGUUAAGUCCCGCAACGAGCGCAACCCUUGAUCUUAGUUGCCAGCAUUCAGUUGGGCACUCUAAGGUGACUGCCGGUGACAAACCGGAGGAAGGUGGGGAGACGUCAAAUCAUCAUGCCCCUUAUGACCUGGGCUACACACGUGCUCAAUGGACAGAACAAAGGGCAGNGAAACCG
rnacentral:rRNA from 2 species